UGUAAAUUGUCGUAUUUAAGAAUUUAAUUAUGCAUGGGGAAAAUUUGUCAUAUAGACUGAACAAUUAUUAACCUUCAUUCACUCUUCAAGUUGAAAUCUAAAGUAAGAUACACUUAAAUCACUACAUGUUAAAGAACAGGGUAAUAUGUUGAUUUGUACUAAGUAAGUCCUUAACAAUAAACAAAUGAAUGUAUUGUGAAAACAGUUUGCCCUGAUUCAAAUUCUUCAUUUGAUUACCAUUGUACAAAGAUGUAGUGAGUGCUUGAUAGUGGCUGUGGGUAUGAAUGCUUUAGAAAAUGUGCAUAAUGUAAGCCUGAUAUCUCAUUUUCUACUGUUAGGCUACAUUAUUUUUUUUUUAAAAGACUAAUGUAUUGAACUUUAAUUUAAGUAUGCUGGUUGGUUUCUAUUUCAUGAUUUCUAAUCAUGAGUAGAAAAUUUCAAAAGUUAAAAUUCAUUCCUUCACAUCAUUGUAUAGAAUGUACAUGUAUGAGUGGUUUCUUGUCAUUUUAAAUAUUUUAGUUCUGAAGUGUAUAUGAUUUUGACAUUUUUUUCAUUCCCUUUCUUUCUAGGUGACAGCUUUUUUGUUUUAUAUUUAAGGAAAAAAAAUGUUAGAUUUUGUUUUGCUCUAUAUUGGUGAACAGAACUUCACUUACCACGGAAAUAAUUUUUAGAUGAAAAUCUAUAUUUUGUGUCAGAUGUGUAUUUACCAUCUAGAAUACAGGAGGGAAAGAUUAUAAGAUUAUCAGUUGAAAUAGGUUGUUUUGAUUUAAUAUUUAUAAAAAUCAAAUGUAAUAACCUCGAAAAAUAUUUGUUUUGGUAUUGAAGCUUUAUUUUCUUCCCUAAAUUUUGGCUGCACAACAUAAACUGCCUUGUUUUACGAAGCAGCAUUAUCGUAACAAAUAUUGUUUCUUUUGUUGCACUUUAUGUAUCAUUAAAA
rnacentral:misc_RNA from 1 species